ACGGCCGCCGCGCCGCCGCCGCCGCCCGUUGACUACGCGGCGGACGCCGCCACCGGCGCCGGCGCUGACUACGUGGCCUCGCUCAAGAUCAAGCUCCUGGUCGGUGAUUAGCCAGCUACCUAUCAUUUCUCAUCCUAGCGUCUCUUUUCUAAUGGAUUGCUCGUGCUCUGCUUGGGUAAUGAUUUUGCGGCGCAGAGCGCGGUGUCCGGGCUGAACCGCGGCCUGGCGGCGAGCCAGGAGGACCUGGACCGCGCGGACGCGGCGGCGCGGGAGCUGGAGGCGGC
rnacentral:lncRNA from 1 species